GUAGGUGGCAAGCGUUGUCCGGAAUUAUUGGGCGUAAAGCGCGCGCAGGUGGUUCUUUAAGUCUGAUGUGAAAGCCCCCGGCUCAACCGGGGAGGGUCAUUGGAAACUGGGGAACUUGAGUGCAGGAGAGGAAAGUGGAAUUCCACGUGUAGCGGUGAAAUGCGUAGAUAUGUGGAGGAACACCAGUGGCGAAGGCGACUUUCUGGCCUGUAACUGACACUGAGGCGCGAAAGCGUGGGGAGCAAACAGGAUUAGAUACCCUGGUAGUCCACGCCGUAAACGAUGAGUGCUAAGUGUUGGAGGGUUUCCCGCCCCUCAGUGCUGCAGCUAACGCAUUAAGCACUCCGCCUGGGGAGUACGGUCGCAAGACUG
rnacentral:rRNA from 1 species